CAUGACAGCUGCACCCCACUCAUCUGCUGCCCGUCCCCCCGUGGGCGGCUCCGGUCUCCCCCGCCUCACAGGCAGGUGGAACUUUCCGUGACGUCACAAUGCUGCGCCACAAGCCGCGCCUCCUGAGAGAACUUGUGAACUUGUAAAAGGCGGGAGCCCGGGCUUCUUUCUCCUCAGCCUCUGUCCAGCAGCCUGGCCGGGCGGAGGAGGCGGCGGUGGCGUGUACGAAGCCAGGGAAAGCGCUCAGCAAACAGUAAAGUGAGAGGGCGAGGGCGUGAGCGGUGCGGAGGAAGCGGCGGCGUGCCUUUUCCUGAGGCUGUUCUGGGGAAUGGCGGAGGCGGCGGCCGUGGCGGUCUGUGCACGAGCGGGAGCGCCCCGCAGCAGAACCCUCCUUCAUGAGCCUUCCAGCAUGGAUUGAAGACCAGCAGUUCCCCAGGAAUCCUCUAGACCUCCAGUGCCAGACUGGGACUGCUGAGGCAUGAUGAGCAGCAGCAGAGUUCUCAGACUCUCCAGUGUGCAGACAGUCAUUGCUGGACUUCCUGAGGUGAUGUCAUUUGAAGACGUCGCUGUGGAUUUCACCUGGCAAGAAUGGCAGCACCUGGAUGUUGUUCAGCAAAACCUCUACAGAGAUGUGAUGCUGGAGAACUACAGCAGCCUGAUGUUCUUGGGUGAGCUAAACUCCCGGAGAUGUAUGACCAAACCAGAUUUGAUCUUCAAGUUGGAGCAUGGAUUUGCACCAUGGAGUGUAGUAGAAGGCUCAAUUCAGAGGCUUCCAGGAGAGAUGCCAUAUGAAUGUACUGAAUGUGGGAAAGGAUUCAUUGCCAUGUCCCAUCUCACUGUGCAUCAGAGAACUCACACAGGUGAGAAGCCAUUUGAAUGUACUGAAUGUGGGAAAGCAUUCAUUUGCAAAUCACAUCUUACUGUAUACCAGAGAACUCACACAGGUGAGAAGCCAUAUCAAUGUAAUGAGUGUGGAAGAAGUUUCUUUGUUAAGUCGUAUCUUAAGAAACAUCAGAGAAUUCAUAUACCUGAGAAGCCAGAUGACUACUAAAUGAGGUAAAGGCUUUUUCCCCACGUAAAGUCUCAACUAAACAUCAUAGGACUCACUCACAUAGGAAAGAAAGCAUGUCAAUAUGACUAUUGGAACACAUCCAUUUCCCAUUGAUUGUUUAUGUGAUGAAUGCAAGAAAGCUUUCUGCCCGAAGUCAGAACUGUACAUCUUCGACAGGUGAAAAGCCACAUGAACAUACUAAUGGAAGUAUAUGGAUUUACAUAGGAAUUUCCACUUGAGGAUCCAUGCAGUGAUAUAACCAAUGCUUAUUGUGCCAGUGUAAUGUUUGGAAAAGCAAAAUGAAGUGUGGGGUAUAAGAAAUUUUGAUAGUAGUAUUUUGUAUGAUGACCACUUGCUUUCCUGGUCACUUCCUGGUAACUGGAAGAAUUUAAAAUUUAAAAAUUUAAAUUUAAAAUUUAAAAAUUUUGUUGUCUGACAGAGAAGUUUUGAAUUCAACAACAUAUGAGCAUCAUUUGCUCUCUUAAGUGUAAUUCCGUAAGCAAUUUCCAUGUUUGCGGAUGAGAAACCUGCUGUGUAUUAGAACAGUAUGAUUAUUGCAUGUUAGUCUGAAAAUAGGAGAAUUCUGUGAUAACAACACUAAAGCAUAUUAUUAUUCUGCAUUGGUCACUCACCUUAUAUUGCUUUUGUAAUAAGAAAGAUAGAAAAGAGAGAUCUAGAAGUACAGAAAGAUGUCAGAUUGCUACUUUGCAACUAAGGGACAUCUUGAAGUUCUUGUUCUGAUUGUUAAGGUGUCAUCAACUUGAUCUGUUUAGUAAUCUACAGAAAUCCAUUUCAUGUUGGUGUAUGAGGUUUCUUGCAGGUAGGAUUAACUGAAGGAGGCAGUCCUUCCUCCAUAGUGAGCCCUUUCCCUAGAGCAGAUGACGUCUGUUGCAGUAAGGUUCGCAUUGCUUGUAGAAAUCACCCAUCAACGAGCAGCUUGUUGGGGAAAUAAAACCGUUUAUUUUGGCAUACAGACUCGAGUAGAACCUUCACAAUGGCAUGGGAAUACAACGUCAUGAGCAGAGGGUGGAUAUCAUAUUCUGGCCAACAUCAGGUGUACAACAGGAACAGAAGAGUAUAUCAAACACUGGCAAAGCUACACUGGGUAUAAUACCCACAACCCUGCUCCCAACAGUACACUGCCUCCAAGAGGCAGUAAGUCCCAAAUCUUGCUCAUCGGGGAAUCUAGCAUUCAGAACCCCUAAGUUCAUGGGGGAGACCCGAAUCAAACCACAUUCCACCCCCAUAAAUUCAUAACCAUACGUGAUGUAAAAUGUAAUGCACUCAUGUAACUUUAAAAUUUCCAUUUUUUUAAACCAUUCCUAAUGAUGAUCAAACCUCCCCAUAACCCACGGUCUUUUAACUGAGUCAUAAUACCAAAAAAAUUUCCUCAAAACCUUUAAUGGCACAGAAUAAACAUGCACACUGCAAAAGAUGGCACUGGGUAUAGCAAAGAAAUAUUCAGCCAAUACAAGAUUUAAAACAACCAGGGCAAACAUCAAACUCUGAAGUGUCAAAUCCAACAACGGUAGCCAGGGACAAAUUUCCAAGUCUGAUAAUUCUAAACAGCAACAAGUAUCUGGAGUUACAAUUCCACCUCUCCAUCUAGGCCAUUCACAUUCUUGGAAAACUUCAUUGGGGCCAGUAGUUUUCCUUAGCAGCCAUCUCGUGGUUCUGGUGUCUCCACUGCAAUCCAUGGCUCAUCCUCAUGGCUCCAUGGGAGUCUCCAUGCAGCCAUUCAGCAAACCUUAAGAGCAGAACACUCUUUGAGCACUCAGGCCCCUUCAAAAGAGUCUAUAUUCUUCCUGUUGUUCCAGUGCAGGCCAACUGGCCAUGUUGCAAACGUUGUCUCUCAAUUGCAGCUGAAUAAGCAGUGGUUCACCCAAAUAUUUCUUUUUUUUCUGUUGCAUGUCCCUCUGCUCACACCAGUUCAUUUCUAUGCAAAGCAACCCUGUACAAAUUCCCAGGACACAGACAUAACAGCAAUUUUCUCACAUAUUCUAUUAGCCAAGGCCAAGCAAAACUCACUCUCACACCCAAAAGCCAAACCUCACAGUCCAUAGUUCUUACUGCAUUUAGGUCUUUCAAUUUUGACCAGAAUAGUCCAUCAUGCUGUACCUACAACAUUGCAAGGCAUCUCUUAGGCCAAGGUUUCUAAUCCUUCCAUAUUUCUCUUGAAAAGCAGCUCCAAAAGGCCAAAGCCACACAUUCAGGUCUUUAGCAGCAAUCCCACUCCUUGGUCACAUUUUAUUGUUGCACUCAGGAUCGCAUUGCUGGUAGAAAUCACCCAACAAAGACCAUCUUGUGGGGCAAAAUGGUCUAUUUUGGCUUACAGAAUUAAAAGGAAGCUCCACGAUGGUAGGGGAAAUUAUUACAUGAGCAGAGGGUGGGCAUCACCUGGCCAACAUCAGGUAGACAACAGGAGCAGGAGAGUAUGCCAAACACUUUCAAGGGGACACUGGGUAUAAUACCUAUAGUACCACCCCCAUCAAUACACUGCGUCCAGGAGGGGUUAAGUUUUAAAUCUCCAUCAGCUGUGAACCUAGCAUUUAGAACACCUAAGUUUAUGGUAGACACCUGAAUCAAACCACCACAGAAUUUUGUAUCAGAAAGCUCUUGGUUAAAAGAGCUUCUUCCUUCCAUUUGGCCAGUGUAGCUGCUUGCUGCCUUCCAGUGUAGAUUGAAGACCAGUAUGGACUGAAGACCAACUUAAAGUGAAGAUCCAUGUGGAUUGAAAACCAGAAGCUCCUCAGAAAGCAUACAAGCUUUCAGUGUGGGAUUGGGACUGCUGAGGCAUCUGGCCAUGUGGACUGAGCAGCUACCAGUUACUUUUGUUCUCAUGCCUGCAUCUGCUGUUGUACUACCCAUAAGAUAAUCCAAUAAAUUCCCUUUUUAUUAUAAUUCA